rnacentral:rRNA from 1 species
CCCGUCACAUCACGAAAGUGAGUUGUACUAGAAGUCGCCACGCUGACCGCAAGGAGGCAGGCGCCCAAGGUAUGACUCAUGAUUGGGGUG